rnacentral:rRNA from 1 species
UACGUAGGGUGCAAGCGUUAUCCGGGAAUUAUUGGGCGUAAAGAGCUCGUAGGUGGCUUGUCACGUCGGUUGUGAAAACCUGCAGCUUAACUGUGGGCGUGCAGCCGAUACGGGCGGGCUAGAGGCAGGUAGGGGGAGAGUGGAACUCCUGGUGUAGCGGUGAAAUGCGCAGAUAUCAGGAAGAACACCGGUGGCGAAGGCGGCUCUCUGGACCUGUUCUGACGCUGAGGAGCGAAAGCGUGGGGAGCGAACAGG